rnacentral:misc_RNA from 1 species
UCAGCAAUCAUCUGCUUUCCUUGACAGUAAGUACCUUGAAUGUUGGUUAAUGCAUCAUGAUCCUCCUUCAUUUCAUUCUCCCCAUGAUCUGAGGUACUCACUGUCAAAUCAGUUUUCUCCUUCACAUCUAAUCUAUUCUUCACACGACCAACUCUACCCCAUACAGAUGAACCUGUAUUUUGUGAACCAACAGGUUUCCCAGUGAUUCUAAUUGCACGUUCAUUGUCAGUAGUAUCAUCCAACAUGACAUUAUGACGGUCAGAAGCAUCAACACUCAUGAAGGAUUCAGUUUCAUCAUUUUUGGAUGGAUGUAGUGCUAAGAGUGCACUUGAUGUUUCAG